GACGAACGCUGGCGGCGUGCCUAAUACAUGCAAGUCGAGCGAACACAAGAGGAGCUUGCUCCUCUUGGUUAGCGGCGGACGGGUGAGUAACACGUGGGCAACCUGCCUGUAAGACUGGGAUAACACCGGGAAACCGGUGCUAAUACCGGAUAAUCCUUUUCCUCUCAUGAGGAAAAGUUGAAAGUCGGUUUACGCUGACACUUACAGAUGGGCCCGCGGCGCAUUAGCUAGUUGGUGAGGUAACGGCUCACCAAGGGGACGAUGCGUAGCCGACCUGAGAGGGUGAUCGGCCACACUGGGACUGAGACACGGCCCAGACUCCUACGGGAGGCAGCAGUAGGGAAUCUUCCGCAAUGGACGAAAGUCUGACGGAGCAACGCCGCGUGAGCGAUGAAGGCCUUCGGGUCGUAAAGCUCUGUUGUUAGGGAAGAACAAGUAUCGGAGUAACUGCCGGUACCUUGACGGUACCUAACCAGAAAGCCACGGCUAACUACGUGCCAGCCGCCGCGGUAA
rnacentral:rRNA from 1 species